rnacentral:rRNA from 1 species
AUUGAACGCUGGCGGCAUGCCUUACACAUGCAAGUCGAACGGCAGCACGGGAGCUUGCUCCUGGUGGCGAGUGGCGAACGGGUGAGUAAUACAUCGGAACGUACCCUGAAGUGGGGGAUAACGUAGCGAAAGUUACGCUAAUACCGCAUAUUCUGUGAGCAGGAAAGAGGGGGAUCGCAAGACCUCUUGCUUUAGGAGCGGCCGAUGUCGGAUUAGCUAGUUGGUGAGGUAAAGGCUCACCAAGGCGACGAUCCGUAGCGGGUCUGAGAGGAUGAUCCGCCACACUGGGACUGAGACCCGGCCCAGACUCCUACGGGAGGCAGCAGUGGGGAAUUUUGGACAAUGGGCGCAAGCCUGAUCCAGCCAUGCCGCGUGAGUGAAGAAGGCCUCGGGUUGUAAA